GACCAUCGGCAAUUUUAUUUGAAUGUUUGGGAGCUUACUGAGUUAUCAAAAAUAAGACCGUCUGUAGGAUCAGCAGUGACACAAAACAGCUGGCCAAUUUUUAAGUGUGAUUUUUGGAACAUCAAUUAUCAGAAAUGAAAGUGUAAGACCAGCCUGUGGGAUCGGCAAUGAAAGAAGACAGUCAGCCAUCUUAAGUUUAAUGUUUGAGGCUUAUCAAACUUGUCUGGAGGCUUGGCAAUGACAUGAGACAGUCGGACAACUUCAGAGUGAAAUGUUUGGAAUAGCAACAAUCAGCAGUAAAAGUGUAAGACUGAGACAUCCGGCCACCUUCUUAGUGUAAUUUUAGUGGUUUAACUUAGAAAUAAAAAUGUAACACUGGUUUGUAGGAUUGGCAUUGACACUAGACAUCCUGCCAACUUCAAAGUGAAACGUCUGGAACAUCAACGAAAAGUGUAAGACCAGUGAGUGGGAUCAGGAGGAGACAGCCGGCCAACUUCAAGUGUAAUGUUUGAAGCCUUACCACGGAUAAAAAAAAGUAGAAAACUUUAAGACUGGUCUGUGCGAUGAAAAUGGGACAUUGUGAAUUACCCUUAUCAAUGUGCAACCUGUCUGUGGGUACAGUAUUGAAAACGACAUUAUCCUGCCAAUUCAAGGUAAUGAUUGGACCCUUUUUAUGCGUGGCAAAAGUAAUACCAAUCUGCUUGAUUGGCAAAGAUAAUGUGAAAGAUAAUCAUAUCAACCUGAAUUAAGAGAAGGUUUUGCAGUUUUACCUUUGUUGACAAAAAUGUGAAUUUGGUCUUAAGCCUCUGUAUAGAAAUAAGUAAGUUUGUAUUUGUAAUAAGUAAGUGGUAUUUGCAGCUUUAAAUUUUCAUUUUAAACUAUAUGUCUAGUCUACCUAGAGUAAUUGGUGAGGGCUGCUUAACUUAGCAGGUUAUAAAUAAAAAUAUGACUGGCUCUGGUCAAUUGGCAUUGUCAUUGUGACAUCAUGAUAUCACCUUUAAGAGAAGUGGGUACAGCUUUAGCUUUUUUCAAAACUGCUAGGAUGUUGUUUGGAGUAUUAGCUGGAUUUUAGAGUAAUGUCAACAGCAAAACUAAAAAGUAAUCUUUGGAGCCUUACAAGGUCACCCAGAUGCUAAAUUGUUAGUAGAAGAUACUAUUGACCUGUUUUGGAAAUCAAAAUACAUGCGUGGACUCAUACAAAAAUUUACAGGUUUUGUGCUCUUGUACCACUGUAAUAGAAGAAAAGUUCUUUAACAAAUAUUUUUUAGUUGUUGGAGGUAGUACAUCAUGGGAACGUGUAUUUUCUGAUAAUAUUUAGACUAGUGAAUGUCCUUUCCACCUGUUUCCCCAACAAUUGAGAAAAUGACUUUAAUGCAAUCUUAGGAAUAGGUCAAGCUGAAUUUCUUGUAUUGCAUGUGUACUAAGUCAAGUCCUGCAGUUUCCAUCAAAAAUGACAAAAAUCUUAAGGUGAAACAGGGUGGAUGAGGACACAGACAGGACAUGGAUGAACCUCAACUAAGCCAAUACACAACCAGAGGAACCAGAAGCAGGCAGGAGGACCUACAGAUGAACUGAUGACCCUGCUUGCUGAACAUGACAUUACAGGUCCUCAAGGUGAAGUUAAUCAUGAAAAUGAAGAAUAUGUGGUUAAAUAGCAUAGAACGACAAAUCCCUGAUCCCCCUUUCCCCUCUGUUGGUGGUUUCCCCUUCCCGUUUUUAGUGGAUGUUUCAUUGCAUCUUUGGCAAAGCAAUGUGGUUGAGGUUAAACCCUCCCUUAAAUGUGAAUGUUGCAAGAAGAGAAUGUACAGUUGAAACAUUUUGCAAAGGGGCCAAAUGGGUACAAGAAAAAGCAUGCAGCUGAAAGCUGUGAAGGAACUUAUCUGUGAAUCCACAUAAAACCCACUUAAUGGAGGUUUCUGUAGUAAUUUGGAAGUUAAGUUUUGUUGUUAGAUUUCAGGAGAGGAAGAUGAGCUAAUGGCCCUGCUGGUUGAGUAUGUUUUUGACUCUUGAGGUUAGUUUGAGUUAUAACUCAACAGGAGUUGACCAGUGUGUGAUUGCUCGUGGAUGUCACAAGAGCUGAACAUUAAGAUUUUCUGGUGCAAUCUCAUUAUCAACAGGUGAGACAAACUUAUUUGAAUAUUAAUGAAUUCAACGGAGUGGAGGAGCUCAGUAGUGUGUAUGUGCAUGUAUCACGCAGCUCUAUAUGUGUAGAAGAAUGACUCCAAAUCUGCUAUAUGAACAUCAUUGUUGAUAAAUCAGGCCAUGUAUUAACCAUCUGGCAAUGAAUUGGAUCACAGAUACACAAAGACCUCAAGAGAAGUUUAUUAUCUUCAAUAUUAUCAGUGGCAGCAUGUUUUGAACUAUUGCAUAUUAAAAGAACUUAUUUCUAUGAGGAUCCUACCAAGAGAAAAUGAACUACACAACUAUUUGAUUAAGAACUGUCCUAACAACAAGUGACAUUUGCUUGUAUUCAAGAAAUCUUGUUAAUGUAACCUAGCUGGCCUAGGUCGAGAAGUUUUUUUAUUUAAUCAGAGGAAUUCAUGCAGCUGGCCAAGAAGAAUCCUGAAGAGUGAAUCUCAUGACAUUUACUCCCAUAUGAUUAAGCUCCAUCACUGAGGCGAACCACCAGCAUGGAGGAUGAAAAAAAUAUGACUGAUUGUGUUCACUAUGCCUAAUUCUAAAGGAGAUGAAGGAUGACAAUCCUGAUAUGAUUGACUGGCUAGUGAGGAGGUUGCUGCACCUGGAUGAAAGUUACCAUGGCUACAUAUACACCCCAUCACAGGUGAAAGAAGGCAAGGAGCACCAAGCACAAAAGGAAGUAGGCGAGGAAUUCUCUGUCCGACAUGGAGCACGAUGACACCACCUGAUCGCAGUUGAUGUCAAGGAAAGGAAGAGAGGAAGAGAGACUAAUCAGCAGAUUCUGCAAGCAGUUGACAUCCCCAAUAUAAUAUAUGCCAAGAUGGCGUGUUGCAUUCUGACACCUCCCCACGCCCUCCAACUUACUGUGUUAUUGUUUAAGAGUGUGAAUAUGGGCAAUUCACAAUAGUG
rnacentral:lncRNA from 1 species